UCUGCAGCGAAGUCACCACACGCGCGAGCCAAAUCCCUAGUUUCCCCUUCCUCAUUCCCCACGCCAGCCGCCCUGGGCUCCCGCCGCCCUGGGCUCCCGCCGCCGGCCUCUCCGUCGCGCCCCCGCACCUCCCUGCCGCUCCCGCACCUGCUGGCCUGCCGUCCCACGCCGCCUUCCCCCACGCCUGAACCUUCCUCCGACCAGGUGCUCUCUCUGCUCGAACCCUCGUCGUCACGGGGGGCGUCGGGCAGAUCUCGGGGAAGAUGGGGCUCAACCUGCUGCAGAGGAGCGAUGCCUUGUACUGGAAGACCAUGCUGGCUGUGGCGAAGCACUCCCUGAAGGUGUUGCUGCUCGUGAUGUCCAAUCCCAUCUCCGUUUCCACCUACCUCUCCUAGAAGCUUUCAGGGUUGGGUUCCUGGCGAGCGGCGUCAUCAGUUCGAGCACCAACCACUUUGUAAUCCACAUGCAGCUUCUAGGUUCAGGCUUUGGGAUGAAGGAACAUAGCACAUCGUUGCUGAAUUUGGAGUUAUACUCAUCAACAAUGGAAGGGGAAACAAGCAGUAAGCAUAGCACAAAGUUGCUAAAUUUGGAGUUAUACCACAUCUCACAUAUAUAGGUCCGUCUUAUUAUGUACGUUCACAUACAUAUGCAUGUGGAAAUCAAGAUAACUCAUAAACUUCAAAGCUAGUGAGGUAAGGGAAGUUUGUAUGUCCCCAUGGUCUGUAGUGAAAGGAUUAGGAUGUCCUUCUAUUGGUUAGUCAAUAGUGAAAUGAUGAUUAUAUCUACUUCUGUUGCAGGUCCAAAUUGCAAAACACUUAUGUUCGUGUAGAUAAACUCAUGAGAUGCUCUCCGGCUAGUUAUGCGGUUAUGCGGGUAAUUGAUGGUUUUGUCAGGUACCAACAGCUGGGACAGCUUUGAGAUGCGGGUGCACAAGAGGGUGAUCGACCUUGUCAGCUCCUUGGACGUUCUCAAGCAGAUCACCAUUGAGAGGUUGAGAUGACCAUUAACAACGAGUCAUGCAGCUGUUGGUGAUGGGCUCUGUUAGGAUGCCCACAUAGGUGCUCAAAAUCACCACCGGGAAGUCCCCCUGUGGCGCAAGGUGACCUGGCAGUGGUGGUGCACCGCCUUGCUUAUGGCGCCAAUGAGAUGACGGGGUUGUUGCCCCGUGACGUCGGCAUCGGCUCCCACGACUCCAUCAUCAGCUACCACUACAUGGGUGAGUCCCUGGUCUCUCCUUCCUCCUCUAUCUGCUCUGGCACAUCUAGCCUUCGAGCUGAGUGAUUUACUGUCAAGUGAUUCUUUUUCAUGUCUGUUCGAAUAUGAUAACAAACACCGAUGUAAAGAUGAAAUAUUUGUCAUGUUAAAUAGGUCGCUGUUACUCAUCCAAAAA